rnacentral:rRNA from 1 species
UACGUAGGCAGCGAGCGUUUGUUCGGAAUUACUGGGCGUAAAGAGUGUGUAGGCGGUGCUCUAAGUUCGGUGUGAAAUCUCCCGCUUAACUGGGAGGGUGCGCCGGAAACUGGAGUGCUCGAACGUGGGAGAGGAAAGCGGAAUUCCUGGUGUAGCGGUGAAAUGCGUAGAUAUCAGGAGGAACACCUGCGGUGUAGACGGCUUUUUCUGGGACCAUUUGUUUGACGCUGAGACACGAAAAGCGUGGGUAGCAAACAGG